GAUGAACGCUGGCGGCGUGCCUAAUACAUGCAAGUAGAACGCUGAAGGAGGAGCUUGCUCUUCUGGAUGAGUUGCGAACGGGUGAGUAACGCGUAGGUAACCUGCCUGGUAGCGGGGGAUAACUAUUGGAAACGAUAGCUAAUACCGCAUGACAACAGUUAUUGCAUGAUAACUGUUUAAAAGGGGCAACUGCUCCACUACCAGAUGGACCUGCGUUGUAUUAGCUAGUUGGUGAGGUAACGGCUCACCAAGGCGACGAUACAUAGCCGACCUGAGAGGGUGAUCGGCCACACUGGGACUGAGACACGGCCCAGACGCCUACGGGAGGCAGCAGUAGGGAAUCUUCGGCAAUGGACGGAAGUCUGACCGAGCAACGCCGCGUGAGUGAAGAAGGUUUUCGGAUCGUAAAGCUCUGUUGUAAGAGAAGAACGAGUGUGAGAGUGGAAAGUUCACACUGUGACGGUAUCUUACCAGAAAGGGACGGCUAACUACGUG
rnacentral:rRNA from 1 species